GUCCCCAGCCGGCCGGCCGCGCCCGCCGAGACCCGUCAGAGCUCCGCGCCCCUCCCCCGGUGCCGGGGACCCACCUGGCCCGGCCGGAGAGGCUGGUCUGCACGUGCUGGCGGAAGGCCGGGUACCGGGACGCCAGUUAGUAAGGAGAAUGGGAGACAGUCCAGCAAGGGAUCCAUUCGCCCAGAGAGCCAGAAGCUGUUUGUAACCUCCGGAGCAGUUCAGCCAGUCACAGAACAGCACCAUGGCCAAGCAUGAUGCUGGAGAAGGCACCUCUGAAGCUAUCCUGCAAUACCCCACUCUGACAGUUAAAUUGGUGCAAGCACUCCUGGUGAGGACACAAGAAGCGUAGUGCGGCCAUGUAAAACCGAUUCAAUUACAGCAAUGGCUGUACAUCGAAGUAACUUAGGUAAACUUAAUUUAGAAGUGUAGACUUCACCUAAGUUAAGUCAUUUGAUUAAAAGAACUGGCCCCAAUUGAGAAGAGCGAGCAGGGCUAGUGAAUAGGACAUUGGACUGAGAUUUAGGAGAUCUGGGUUUUAUUGAUGCACUGCCUCUGACCUGUGCAAUGACAAGCAAGUUAUUUCACUUCUAUGUCCCGGGUUUCCCCACCUGUAAAUAAUAAUGAUACUGACCUUCUUUGUAAAGCAUGUGGAGAUCUACAAAAAUAUGCUAUAUGAGAGCACAUUAUUUUUAUUAUAGAGCUUUAAAUAGAAAGGGGAUCUUAACAUUAACUAUAGAGGAGCUACCUCUUCACUAUAAUUAUUCCCUGUGCUUAAUCAAAGAGAUUUUACUAUUUUUUUAAUAUUAACUGUCUAUUGUUUGCAAGUUCACUUAAAAUUUGCUGGCACCUCAUUAACAAACUAAUCCUCCAAAUGUCUUGAGUCCCCCAUUCACUCUUUUCCCCACUCGCAACCAGCCAGCUCUCCUCCAAUUUCCCCAAGUCUUUGGGACAAUUGAAUUCUAUGUACAAAAGAGGAGAUCCUUGAUUCCACAAAUCCAAUGUUCCAUCUCUGGCUAUGGCCCAUGCUGGUUGCUUCUGGGGUCCCCCUUGCUCCUGUCUUUCUCUUCCAGUGGUAUGCAAGAGAGGACUAAAUGGACAAAUGCAGACUGGAAGCAGGGUUACAAACGGGGCUUUUAUUUCAGAGCGUUUAGUGUAUUUACAAGAGUUUAAAAAAAUUCUCCUGAUCCUCUGCAAGAGACAGAGGAUGCACGCUCAAAAGGUGUGAGGAUAAUUUGAGCCCUUAGCUACUCCAUACCUAACAAGGGCUAACACUUGGAAGAAUGUAACAGUGAGCGCUCAUGGGAUGGAGCCUGGGAAGUAGUGUGAAAUUAUUCAGAAGUCCCUAACAAAAUAUAUGCCAUCAUAUUUGCAGUU